UACGUAGGGUGCAAGCGUUGUCCGGAAUUAUUGGGCGUAAAGAGCUCGUAGGUGGCCUGUCGCGUCGGCUGUGAAAACUCGGGGCUCAACUCCGAGCUUGCAGUCGAUACGGGCAGGCUAGAGUUCGGCAGGGGAGACUGGAAUUCCUGGUGUAGCGGUGAAAUGCGCAGAUAUCAGGAGGAACACCGGUGGCGAAGGCGGGUCUCUGGACAGUUCCUGACGCUCAUGCACGAAGGCCAGGGGAGCAAACGGG
rnacentral:rRNA from 1 species